AACACAUGCAAGUCGAACGGAAAGGCCCUGCUUUUGUGGGGUGCUCGAGUGGCGAACGGGUGAGUAACACGUGAGUAACCUGCCCUUGACUUUGGGAUAACUUCAGGAAACUGGGGCUAAUACCGGAUAGGAGCUCCUGCUGCAUGGUGGGGGUUGGAAAGUUUCGGCGGUUGGGGAUGGACUCGCGGCUUAUCAGCUUGUUGGUGGGGUAGUGGCUUACCAAGGCUUUGACGGGUAGCCGGCCUGAGAGGGUGACCGGCCACAUUGGGACUGAGAUACGGCCCAGACUCCUACGGGAGGCAGCAGUGGGGAAUAUUGCACAAUGGGCGGAAGCCUGAUGCAGCAACGCCGCGUGCGGGAUGACGGCCUUCGGGUUGUAAACCGCUUUCGCCUGUGACGAAGCGUGAGUGACGGUAAUGGGUAAAGAAGCACCGGCUAACUACGUGCCAGCAGCCGCGGUGAUACGUAGGGUGCGAGCGUUGUCCGGAUUUAUUGGGCGUAAAGGGCUCGUAGGUGGUUGAUCGCGUCGGAAGUGUAAUCUUGGGGCUUAACCCUGAGCGUGCUUUCGAUACGGGUUGACUUGAGGAAGGUAGGGGAGAAUGGAAUUCCUGGUGGAGCGGUGGAAUGCGCAGAUAUCAGGAGGAACACCAGUGGCGAAGGCGGUUCUCUGGGCCUUUCCUGACGCUGAGGAGCGAAAGCGUGGGGAGCGAACAGGCUUAGAUACCCUGGUAGUCCACGCUGUAAACGGUGGGUACUAGGUGUGGGGUCCAUUCCACGGGUUCCGUGCCGUAGCUAACGCUUUAAGUACCCCGCCUGGGGAGUACGGCCGCAAGGCUAAAACUCAAAGGAAUUGACGGGGCCCCGCACAAGCGGCGGAGCAUGCGGAUUAAUUCGAUGCAACGCGUAGAACCUUACCUGGGUUUGACAUGGAUCGGGAGUGCUCAGAGAUGGGUGUGCCUCUUUUGGGGUCGGUUCACAGGUGGUGCAUGGCUGUCGUCAGCUCGUGUCGUGAGAUGUUGGGUUAAGUCCCGCAACGAGCGCAACCCUUGUUCACUGUUGCCAGCACGUUAUGGUGGGGACUCAGUGGAGACCGCCGGGGUCAACUCGGAGGAAGGUGGGGAUGACGUCAAGUCAUCAUGCCCCUUAUGUCCAGGGCUUCACGCAUGCUACAAUGGCUGGUACAGAGAGUGGCGAGCCUGUGAGGGUGAGCGAAUCUCGGAAAGCCGGUCUCAGUUCGGAUUGGGGUCUGCAACUCGACCUCAUGAAGUCGGAGUCGCUAGUAAUCGCAGAUCAGCAACGCUGCGGUGAAUACGUUCCCGGGGCUUGUACACACCGCCCGUCAAGUCAUGAAAGUUGGUAACACCCGAAGCCGGUGGCCUAACCGUUGUGGGGGAGCCGUCGAAGGUGGGACUGGUGAUUAGGACU
rnacentral:rRNA from 1 species